rnacentral:misc_RNA from 1 species
GUAGGUGUAUAUGGUUUUUUUUUUUUUUUUUUUUUUUUUUUUUUUUUUUUUUUUUUUUUUUUUUUUUUUUUGAUUUUUUUUUUUUUUUUUUUUUUUUUUUUUUUUUUUUUUAUAAUAUAUAUAUUAAGUAAUCUUAAAAACUAGUACACAAAAGUAAUUUUAAAACUAGUACAGAAAAAAGUAAUCUUAAAAACUAGCAUAUUUAGUAUAUAUUUUAAAUAAUUGCAAAAUAAAAAUAAAAGAAAAGGUAAUAAAGUGAAGAACAACAA